UACGUAGGGUGCGAGCGUUGUCCGGAUUUAUUGGGCGUAAAGGGCUCGUAGGCGGCCUGUCGCGUCGGGCGUGAAAGCCCACUGCUUAACGGUGGGUCUGCUUCCGGUACGGGCGGGCUGGAGUAUGGCAGGGGAGACUGGAAUUCCUGGUGUAGCGGUGGAAUGCGCAGAUAUCAGGAGGAACACCGAUGGCGAAGGCAGAUCUCUGGGCCGUAACUGACGCUGAGGAGCGAAAGCAUGGGGAGCGAACAGG
rnacentral:rRNA from 1 species